GAGAGGGCAGUGGCGCACCAGUCUCCAUGAAGGUUGAGCUCCGAUGGCCAACAGCCAUUUCCACCUUGUGGUCUACAACUCUUCAUCCCGACUGCAUGGAGGUUGGUCUCUCUCUUCAGCUGGAUUUAGGCCACCAUCUGAGCCCCCGGGGUACGUUUUGUCUGACCCUGGCGCCAUUCGAACGGUUCUUCUACAGCAUCAGUUCUCUUUCCUGCCACCAUGUGAAGAAGGACAUGUUUGCUUCCCCUUCUGCCAUGAAUGGACAGGGUCCUGCUGUGUUGCCCAGGCUGGCCUUGAACUCCUGGCUUCAAACAGUCUUCCCACUUGGGCUCCCAAAGUGCUGGGAUUAAAGGGGCGAGUUACAGCACCAGGACCUGAAAUUAGAGACAGGGUUUCACCGUGUUAGCCAGGAUGGUCUCCAUCUUCUGACCUCGUGAUCCGCCUGCCUCGGCCUCCCAAAGUGCUGGGAUUACCGGCGUGAGCCAGCAUCACCCCCCAGCAAAAGUGACACCCCUGCUCCCCAUUCACCCUCCGCUAUCAGUAAAAGCUUCCUCAGACCUCACCAGAAGCUGGACAGAUAGAUGCUGGUGCCAAGCUUGUACAGACUGCAGAACCAUGGGCCAAAUAAACCUCUUUUCUUUAUAAAUUG
rnacentral:lncRNA from 1 species